rnacentral:rRNA from 1 species
UACGUAGGGACCAAGCGUUGUUCGGAUUUACUGGGCGUAAAGGGCGCGUAGGCGGCGUGUUAAGUCAGCUGUGAAAUCUCCAAGCUUAACUUGGAACGGUCAGCUGAUACUGAUGUGCUAGAGUGCAGAAGGGGCAACCGGAAUUCUUGGUGUAGCGGUGAAAUGCGUAGAUAUCUGGAGGAAUACCGGUGGCGAAGGCGGCAUCCUGGACCGACAUUGACGCUGAACGGCGAAAGCUAGGGGAGCAAACGGG